rnacentral:lncRNA from 1 species
GUUUGGAAUUUCAGCUGGGCAGCUUCGAUCCCACCACCUGUAGCCACUGAGGUUCACAGGCUCUGUUUGAGGUGUUGUGUUAGAUUGUGCUGGGUUGGUUUUGCUGCUUAUUGAGUGAUGAAGAGCAACAUAUUAGCUACUGAGAUAUUUUGCAGAAAAAGGAAGAGAUGUCUUCAGCUCAAAUGCUAUCAAACUUGUGAAAUAAACAGCGUUGUUGCUCACACAAAGCCUGUUUGGUAGUCUCUUCACAUGGACGCGUGUGACAUUUGGUGCUGAAGACCCGGGACAGGAGGACUCCUUCAGGAGACGGGUCCCCUGUCCUUGCCCUCACUCCGUGAGGAGAUCCACCUACGACCUCGGGUCCUCAGACCAACCAGCCCAAGGAACAUCUCAUGAAUUUCAAAUCGGGACCCCACUGGAAAUCGGACUGUCCAACCCGGCAGCCACUCCCAGGGCCCCUAGAACUCUGGCCAAAGGCUCUCUGACUGACUCCUUCCCAGAUCUUCUCAGCUUAGCAGCUGAAGACUGAUGCUGCCUGAUCGCCUUGGAAGCCCCCUGGACCAUUACGGAUGCUGAGCUUUGGAUAACUCUUACAGUAGAGGAUUCCCAACUAUAUGAAGACACCCUAGCUGGACGAUCAGUUCUUAUUAAGAACCUGACCCCUCAAACUCUACAACCUCGAUGGACUGGACCCUACUUAGUCAUCUAUAGUACCCCAACUGCCGUCCGCCUGCAGGAUCCUCCCCACUGGGUUCACCGUUCCAGAAUAAAGCUGUGCCCAUCGG